CGUUGCCUGCGGUGUUCGAGGCACCGCGCCGACCCUUAGAACCUGUAACACGACACGGGGGCCGGCAUGGGGCGCUGUUGUGCAAGUCCGCGGCGGUUUGUUUUAACCGGCCGCAAGCGGAAAGCCUGAGGCGCUCCACAGGCCCCCAACUUGAGCCUUUGGUUCAAGGAAACCGCGGAGGCACGGCACUUGCGGGUAACGC
rnacentral:other from 1 species